UACGUAGGGCGCAAGCGUUGUCCGGAAUUAUUGGGCGUAAAGAGCUCGUAGGCGGCUUGUCACGUCGGGUGUGAAAGCCCGGGGCUUAACCCCGGGUCUGCAUUCGAUACGGGCUAGCUAGAGUGUGGUAGGGGAGAUCGGAAUUCCUGGUGUAGCGGUGAAAUGCGCAGAUAUCAGGAGGAACACCGGUGGCGAAGGCGGCUCCCUGGGCCAUUCCUGACGCUGAGACGCGAAAGCGUGGGGAGCAAACAGG
rnacentral:rRNA from 1 species